UUUCCCAACAGUGAUGUCACAAGAUUGACCACAUUGAUCACAAUAUGGAGUCUGGAGAACGGUUACCAUCCUCAGCAGCCUCCUCUACUACACCAACUUCAUCUUCGACACCUUCUGUGGCUUCAGUAGUUUCAAAAGGUGGCCUUUCCACUGGAGUUGCUUCACUUAGCUCUACAAUCAACCCAUGUGGUGCAGAAUGGUGGCGAACAACUGAUGCUCAUACUCGUACAGGAGCAACCUUCUUUCCACCAUUACUGGGAAUUCCACCACUAUUUGCUCCCCCAGCCCAGAAUCAUGAUUCUUCUUCAUUCCAUUCAAGGACUUCGGGAAAAAGUAAUCGAAAUGGUCCCGAAAAAGGUGUAAAUGGCUCAAUAAAUGGAAGUAAUACAUCAUCUGUAAUUGGUAUCAACACAUCUGUACUAUCCACUACUGCUUCAAGUUCCAUGGGACAAACUAAAAGUACAAGCUCAGGUGGAGGAAAUCGAAAAUGUAAUCAGGAACAAAGCAAAAACCAGCCUUUGGAUGCUAGGGUUGACAAAAUCAAAGAUAAGAAACCAAGGAAGAAAGCAAUGGAAAGUUCUAGCAACAGUGAUAGUGAUUCAGGCACAUCAUCAGACACCUCAAGUGAAGGCAUUAGUAGUAGUGAUUCAGAUGAUCUAGAAGAAGAUGAAGAAGAAGAAGAUCAAAGUAUUGAAGAAAGUGAAGAUGAUGAUUCUGAUUCAGAGAGUGAAGCACAACAUAAAAGUAACAACCAGGUAUAAUUUUUUUCAUGGACAGUAUCCAAACAUUAUUCAUAUUUAGGAAUUAACUGGUUUAUCUUGACUCUCAAAGUCUGUAGUUUUAAAGUUAAUCAUUACUUUGAGUUCAUACUUUUGCCCAAGAAAGAAGAUGAAGAAAUAUUUUUAAAGGGACAUACGGUAUUUCUUUUACGAAUUUUUAGAUUUUUAGAUAUUAUCAUAAGGCAUUAAGAACACUUUUAAAGUACCCGUUUUUAUCUCCAGGUUUUACUGCUUGAUAGUCUUUGUCUUAAUAGAUGUUAGGAACUUACCUUUUCAUUUUUAUAUCUAGGUGCUAUUACAUGGUAUUUCAGACCCAAAAGCAGAUGGACAGAAAGCAACUGAAAAAGCCCAGGAAAAAAGAAUACACCAGCCAUUACCUCUUGCGUCUGAAUCCCAGACUCACUCAUUCCAAUCCCAGCAGAAGCAGCCUCAGGUUUUGUCACAGCAGCUUCCAUUUAUUUUCCAAAGCUCUCAGGCAAAGGAGGAAUCUGUGAACAAACACACCAGUGUAAUACAGUCUACGGGAUUGGUGUCCAAUGUGAAACCUUUAUCUUUGGUAAAUCAAGCCAAAAAGGAAACUUACAUGAAACUCAUAGUUCCUUCUCCUGAUGUUCUUAAAGCAGGGAAUAAAAAUACCUCUGAAGAAUCUAGUUCAUUGACCAGUGAAUCGAGAUCCAAACGGGUGAGUUACAAAUUAUUUAUAAAAGAAUUUUACUAUUAGAGAAAGAUAGAGCUUCUAUAUUGUCUUACAAUACACAAGUUUAAGUUAAAUUCUACCUUCAUUUUUAUACUUUCUUAGUCUCCAGGAAUAGAAUAUGUACAUCAGAAAACUAAAUUUCUCUGAUUUUAUAUUCAUAUAUGUAUCUGUUGAAUGUAUUUUUGGCAAUGCAAUCAUGUCAUUCCAGCUCCCCUGCAACCCAUCCCUAAGGUAAGUCCCCACACCCAAGAUCUAAGGAUUUAGAAAUAAGGGGAUAAAUAUGUUUGAGUAAGACAAGCUUCACAAUUACUUGGGUUUAAAAUUAAUGUCCUUUUUUUCCUAAUACCAAUUUUUUUUUUUUUUUUUUUUUUGAGGCAGGGUCUCAAUCUGUUGCCCAGGCUGGAGUGCGGUGGCUCAAUCUCAGCUCACUGCAACCUCCACCUCCCGGAUCCAAGUGAUCCUGCUGCCUCAGACUUCCUAGUAGCUGGGACUACUGGCAUGCGUCACGACACCAGGCUAAUUUUUGUAUAUUUAGUAAAGAUGGGGUUUCACCAUGUUGGCCAGACUGGUCUCAAAUUCCUGACCUCAAGUGAUCUGCCCGCCUCGGCCUCCCAAAAUGCUGGGAUUACAGGCAUGAGCCACUACAUCCGGCCAAAUAUAUUCUUUUUCAAAGAAGUGAACUCAAGUAAUUUACCUCUGUAGUCCUAGAAUGUAUACAUUUUAAGUGUAAAAACCCUUCAUAAAGAAUCACUUUUCUGGCCAGACAUGGUGGUUCACACCUGUAAUCCUAGCACUUUGGGAGCCAAGGCAGGAGGACUGUUUGAGCCCAGGAGUUUGAGACCAACCUCUGCAACAUAGUGAGACCCUGUCUCUACCGAAAAAAAAAAAAAAUUU
rnacentral:sRNA from 1 species